AGCACAACCUCCAGAGAGCCACUGGGACGUCUUCCCUCUAUCUGACACGUGGAUCUCACAACCCCAGCCUGCACUUGCUGGACUCUUUGGUGGGAGGAGACAGGGAUAGGGAAGUGUGCGGAUGUAAUCUGGAAUCCCGGCACCGUGCGGGUGGAAAACGUGCUGCAGCUCAAUCAUGCAGAACUUCUAAAAGAGUAUUUCUCCCACUGAGACUUCAGGCCUGUCUGCUUGCCACUAUUAAUAUACAGAGAACUGCACUUGGACAAAUCAGAGCUGCUGGAAUGAGUUACUGAUCACAAGCAUCCUGAGUGUUAGCGAAGCCUCCUGAAAUUUGCACCCAAAAGUAGCCACACACAGGUGGAAGCACUACUGCGUUUCACAAUGCAGCCUAACAGCAAGACGUUGCCUUCACCAGGCAUAGCCUACAAUGAAGAUCACAAUAUGGAUGGCAGAUGGAUCCGAAUUUAGGGUACAUAUGGAAAAUAUCAGAAAAAAAUCUUUGCUGCCCCCCACCCAUCUGACUCUUCACCAUUACCAUUUGAGGCUUUCUAUAACUGACUAAGAAAAGUCACCGGUACAUCUCCAAGGGACUUUUUGAGCACACUUUGGGUUCCAACUGGGAACUUCUUCCCAGGUCAGAAGGCACAGCGCUCCCCCAUCUACUGUAUCUCUCAGGUUUGGUCUGUCUGCCAUAUGAGCAUACAAGACUGGAGGUAAUAGAGUGAGAAGGAAUAAAGAGGGGUUUUCCUUCAUCCCUGUCACCAUACAGAAUACCAUCUACAUGCCAGGAAGACACCUGCCCUUUCUGCCCGCAGGUGCACUAUGGAGGCACUGGACCAAUGGUUCUGCUCUGUGGCCUCUUUCCUCUGCCUUUUCUCUGCCUUAGGUGGGCUGGGAUGGGAUAGGUGUAGCAAGAGUGGUGAUGACAACAAUUCCUGUCUGAUUCCCCUUGAGCAUUAGUAUAGCAUUCAACACAUAGUACAUGCUCAAUCUUUGUUGAAUAAGAGAAAAAAGAUUGGAGAGGAGAGAGAGAGAGAACAAGUAUGUCAAGUGUCUCUCUCCGGUACAGGACCCUGGUAUCAUCUGGUCAGGACCAAAUAUCAGAGGAAAGGCCUUCCUCCCAGCAGGGAAUGGAAGAUGAAGAGCAUUUAUUGGGUGUCUGCUGGAUGCCAACAACUUUACUUACAUUAAUCCAAGCAAUCUUUCAUGCUUUGUGAAACAGGUACCAGUAUCAUCCUUUUUAUAUAGAUGGAGAAGCUAAAGUUCUGAUUGCUAAGUUGAUUGCCCAAGAACAUAAAGAUUGUUGGUGGUACAGUGGGAAUUAAAAGACCUCAGUCCAUCCAGUUUUGAAUAUUUGAUCCUCUGCACAGCAUGAAGUCGGCCUCUUGGCAGGGUUGUUGUGAGAACUGGCUCCAGCUUUUGCCCCAGGCCCACAGCCUUACAGCCACCGUUCUCCCCAAGAAAUGUGCAGACAGUCAGCCUGCCUCUUGAUGGGACGGGCAGGAAGAGAGAUAGCAAGCAGAGCACUCCUGAUUCUAGAACUAUGUGAGCCAGAUGCCACGUGACAGCUGACUGGACAGCAAUCAAGGUCCUCCUUCUAGGAGAUAAGGGAUUCCCCUCCCAGGUUGCUUUGGGCCUCAGGCCUGCUCUGCUCCUUCCACUGUAGGCCAAUCCAAGAAACUCAAGAAGCACACAUGGUUUAGGAUCAAAGCUGCUGGGAGGGCUCCUAAACGCCCCAUGCAAGGCUGCUGCUGAUAGAUCCUUGAACUGCUGGGAGGUCUGGGGAGUAACUGCUGGCUCUUCCAUCCGUCCUUUCACAGGAGGCUGCCUGAAGCGCCAAAGCCCAACCAGGCUGCCUGAUAGGACCCAAGAGGGCCUCUUUCUCGUCUCCUUGUAGGGAAGUCAGGCUUGAAAGUGGAAAUGACUUCAAUUUCCUUAGUUACUUCAAGCUUCUACUUAGUAGCUACAGGAGUAAAUGCAGAGAAUCUAAGCAGCUUUGACGAUCUUAGAAAAUGCUCACCCUGGCUUCACCUAAAAAAUAGCAUCCUAACAAACCUCUAAGCUGCUCUCUAUGGCCCCUGGGACGAAGGCAAGGGCUGGUCCCUGAGGAAAGUGAAAAUGGAAAACUGUUCCUUCACUGCUGUUUCCAGAUCUGUCGCCCUGAAGCCCACACAGACAUUGUCAGAGGUCUUACAGAGAUGGCUUGCUUCUUGUCUUGAAUCCAGCUUUUUCUGGAUUCCAGGACAAGACACAGCUUUUGGCCUCCAGCAGCUUCCAGUCUUCCAAGGGCUUUGACUUCCAGCCAGAUCAAUCUGCUCAUUUACCCUAAACCCCACGUCUUUCUCUGGCUGUCAUGCUUUGCACAUUCUAUUCCCCCGAGAGGAAUGUCUUUCCUUCUUCCCUGUGCAAAAGUCUUGCUCAACUUUCCAAUCCCAACCAUAUGGGCCUUGUGCAGUGCCACCUGCCCCGGAUCCUCCAGGAGAAGUGUGGCUAUGAAGCCCCUCGAGUCCCUCCUCAUGCUACUCUGCCCUCAGCCAUUGUUCUGGGCACUAUGGUCUAUGUGGAGAAGUUCUCAUGCAGAGCUGUUCCUGAGACAGUGAAUGGGGGAAGUCUUCACAGCAGAGAAAUUUUACCAUCUUCCCAAGCCAUCUUUCACUUACCUUCCAAAUCAAAGCAGGGGAGAAGAACACAACUAUGCAAUGAUGGGAAAGAUGUAAACUGAUCCACAAUAAUUCUUAUGGAAGAGAAACUAGUGAAGAGUAUGCAGGGUAUCUGUGUGCUUUGACAGAUCAAAAGUAUCCCAGAUGGUAUUUACUGCCUCAGUUCUGUUGAUAAAAUACAGCGGUCACAGCCCAUACGUCAGAGUUGGAAGUCAGCAUUCCAGCACUCUUAUGUCUGAACUGGUGGUGAGAUCUGAAGGACAUGUGCUAGUCUAGAAGAAAAGAUCCUAAAGAAAAGAAAUUGUCAGAACUUGCAUAGCCCUGCUCAGGAAGCCAACACUGACUCCACCAUGGCUAGAAGACAGCAGUAGAAACAAGUUCUGCUCUUUGCAAGGAAGAUUCCAUUCUAGGGCAGGAGUCACUGUCACUUCAGACCUUUCAAUGCCAUCUGCUUUGUUUCCACAUGCACCAAGAAAUGACUGAGGAAUAAUUUCCUCUCCUUGCUAAUCUGACAGUAUUGCCUAACAAAGACAAGCUUGGCCUAUGAUACCAAAUUCAGCUAGAUUCAAAGUCCAGCAGCAUGAUUUUCUUAAAAACCUUAGACAACUAACAUACUCCCCUGUGCACUUAGCUUCGCACCUCUGAAAUUGUAGCAUAGGAAUAAACGUUGCAAGUGGGUUGUGGGAUUAGAUGACAUAAUACACAAAGUACACAAAACUUAGAACAUCUUAAUCCUUCACAAAAGGCAGGUAUUGAUAUCAAUAUAUUUUUACUGCUACUUCCUUGAUAUAGUGUCUGUAAAGUAUUUUUUACCCUAUAAAAUUCAAGCAUUGACAUCUAGCUUCUAUACCACAGAAUAAAGGGUAAGUAUUUACUCAGCAUGAGAGUAUGCUUACUAAGGUCUAGGGCAGUGGUGGUAAACCUAUGGCACACGUGCCACAGCAGGCUGUUUAUAUCAUUGAAAGCUCUAAAAGAUUCACCAUCACUGGUCUAGGGAAACUGAGUAGAUAAUGUUCUUGGCCCAAUAACCUUGGGCCUGUACCCAGUGACAUACACCCCUAAAAGAAACUUCUGUCUCACCCUGUAGCCACUCACUCCAGCCACUGGCCAGUCACUCUUGCCUCUAAACUGUUCUCUAUCUCUUUCUUUGCUUCAGGGAACUUCAAAUUCCCUUUUAGGUGAAUGCUUCCUCUGUUGGAUUAACUAGUGGUCACUUUGUAACACCCAGUUGCACUGAAUCAGCAAGACUCUGGAUGUGGAGGGCUCACCUGCGGAUUGUUGCCAACAGCACAAAGAGAACUGGAGGGGAAGAUGUGUACUGUUGACUCUUCUGGAAAAGCUUGUCACACUUGUUUUGCUGGUAGGAACUCAGCUGUUCUCAUUGUCCAAGGAGCUCAGGACCUUGCUGUCGCUGAGGACCACUGCGGUUCUUUUUGGGGGAGAUCUGGUCUUUACUUUGAACAUCACUUCCUGGGCCCAGUGCAGAUCUCUCAGCCUGCUGGCAUAGAUCCUUCAUCC